rnacentral:rRNA from 1 species
CAUGGCUCAGGACUAACGCUUGCGGCGUUCCUAAUACAUGCAAGUAGAACGCUGAAGGAGGAGCUUGCUCUUCUGGAUGAGUUGCGAACGGGUGAGUAACGCGUAGGUAACCUGCCUGGUAGCGGGGGAUAACUAUUGGAAACGAUAGCUAAUACCGCAUAAUAGUAGAUGUUGCAUGACAUUUGCUUAAAAGGUGCAAUUGCAUCACUACCAGAUGGACCUGCGUUGUAUUAGCUAGUUGGUGAGGUAACGGCUCACCAAGGCAACGAUACAUAGCCGACCUGAGAGGGUGCUUGGCCACACUGGGAUUGAGACACGGGCCAGACACCUACGG